CUUUUCUUUUAUUUCGAUUAAAAUACCCAAACCCUUCCCCUCUCUUUGAACCCAAAAAUCAGCCAAACCACACUCCUCAUUUGAACACAUCAAAACCCAAGAACACCUUCCUUCUCGCCAUUUCCUCUAAAAAUGGCUGAUUUCUUGCUUGAAUUCUGCUACAGUUGAGCAACUUUCUUCCUCAUUCAAUCCAUUGAUUUUCGAUUGCAACUCUCCUAAUCUUGAUCUGAAUUUUCAAAGAAUUCAGCCCUAACAUAGCCUCCUUAUUUGAAGCUUUCCUUCGAAAAACAGCAAUGGCUAGAUUCACACCUUCUUCGUCCUCUGACCUUCAAAAAAUGCAUCAGGAUAACAUUUUGCUUCUUCAGCGUUGAAUCGUGGGAAGGAAUAAGUGUGUUCAUCCUCAAUCUUGACUUUUAAAGUCUUCUAUUGAAAACCUAAUUUCCGUCCGUGCGUGUAACUACAAUCCUAGUCUUUCAUCUUCCCUCUGAUUUUCGUUGAGCAUACAUGGAUUGAAGCACUUCGUCACCUACAAUCGGGACCGAAAAUACGACCAUUAUUGAUUAUAGAACCGGACUUUUCUUUGUCCAGUUGCAGCGAAAGUGAGGAGAUGAUAUCAUUGAGGAACCUUUCUAGCGAUCACGGAGAACCAGAUUUAGCUCCUUGAAGCCCUUUUUGGUGAGUAGUAGCAGUCCAUUAAAGGGUUUUGCCAGAAUAUAGUUUUGAAAUUGUUUUAUUAAAGUUGUGAAUUUUAUAAUGUUGAGACAGAUUUGUUAUGAAUGAUUAUGUUGAUGUUGAUAUGGUCAGUGGAUCGGGCUCACGAGCUGGUCAUUGACGGAGUAGAGGAAAAAUCUCCCUUACUCCCCAUUUUGAGGUGAAUUGUCAUUCAAAUAUUAACUAGUCUCACUCGAGAGUGAGAUAGCCUUAAAGCUUUGGAUGUUCCUCUUAACUAGACUCCCUGUGCGCACAUAGAUCUAGAAAACUGAUGUUGCUUUUAAACCUAUGUUUUGAAUUACUAUGUUUUGUUUUAGAUUGUUACUUCUCAUUUAGUUUAAGCUGACUCCUGUUGUUUCCAUCUUUUAGAUUGUUUACAGAUCGAAACCGGUCGGGAACGAUGGGUUAGCGGUGAUGAAUAGAGUUCCAUAUAUGUUAUAUUGAGCUGAGCACGUGAGAAUUUGUAGUUUUAUAUUAGGCUUUGGCAAAUGUAUAUUAGACUAGACUGUAUUGGUUAUGUUGGACUUUUAUAGUUACUUUUAUGAUUACUUUAUGUUUUAGAAUGAUGUUUGGAUUGAGAACUAGUUGAUUUAGCUGCUAUGUUUUAGAACUAAUGACCCCUUUGUUCAAGUUUUGGAAUUGAGAUUUGAGUUUCUUAGGAAAUAAAUUCCGUGA